rnacentral:lncRNA from 1 species
GAAAAGAUAAAUCUUGGUAGCUAUCGUCAGAUUUUCAAAGAAAACGGUGUCAAUGGGGAAUACCUAGAAGGCAUGUCUAUGUUUACAACUGAACAGAUUCUUCGGUUUAUAAGACGAUGCCAUAUGAAAUGGGGAGACUUCAUCACUCUAUGCAAGGAACUUAGACGAAUAAAAGGUAUAUAUAUAGCUUUUCUUGCCGCACGCAGUAGUUGUCUAGCUUCAGGUCAUUUCAUUGUGCAUCAUAUGUACCUAUAAAGCAUGAAUAUUUUACCCACUCUCGUAAAUCACUUCCCGUACCCAACUUAUGUCAUAGCAGCUUUGCCUUUUGCAUAUGAAUUGAUAAAAUAGGAAUACACUGAGUGAUUGUUUUAGAUAUUUUGUAUAUCAUGUCGCAUAUUUCAGUUGGUUUAAUGAUAUUCAAUUGCUUUCCGAUCAAGAAAACAUUUUUUCUUGAAUUUAUUCUUCGACACCUCGUAGCUAUUGUCCUUUAUUGAUAUACAUAUUUAUGAAUUGUAUUCUUCAGUGGCUUGUCUAAAGGGAGAGCAAAAAGUUCGCAGGCCGUGGUGGGCACCUUCAUGCCUUUCGUUAGUCUUUCUCAAGGUGGCAAAACGGAACAGACAAUCGCGC